rnacentral:rRNA from 1 species
GGUGAUACGAGAGGCCCAAGCUGACAGUCCCCGGCGUAAAGCGUGGUUAGGGUUAACCUUAAACUAAAGCCGAACACCCUUAAAGCUGUCAUACGCACACAAGGGUAUGAAGCCCCCCCACGAAAGUGGCUUUAUAUUACCUGACCCCACGAAAGCUAAGACACAAACUGGGAUUAGAUACCCC